GGCCCGCUUCGGCCAUCUCUCCAUCCCGCUUUCCCUCGGCUUGCGACUGUGCGCUCAAUCCAGCACCAUGGGGAAGCGGGACAAUCGGGUGGCCUAUAUGAACCCAAUAGCAAUGGCGAGAGCAAGGGGUCCAGUCCAGUCUUCAGGGCCAACAAUCCAGGAUUAUCUGAAUUGAACAAGGCCUACCUGGGAAGAAGUAAAAGAGCAACUAGAAAACAAAAAGAAAGGCUCCAAGGCUUUGGCUAAAUUUGAAGAAAAAAUGAAUAAGAAUUGGAAGAAAGAACUGGAAAAACACAGGGAGAAAUUAUUAAGUGGAAGUGAGAGCUCAUCCAAAAGAAGACAGAGAAAGAAAAAAGAAAAGAAGAAAUCUGAUAGGCAUUCAUCUUCUUCUUCAUCAAGUUCUGAUUCUUCCAGCAGUUCUUCUGAUUCUGAAGAUGAGGAUAAGAAACAAGGAAAAUGGAGAAAGAAAAAGAAGAACCGUUCACAUAAAUCUUCUGAAAGCUCCAUGUCAGAAACUGAAUCAGAAGUAAGAAUAGUUUAAAAAAGAAAAAGAAGUCAAAAGAUGAACUGAGAAAGAAAAGUAUAUUAAAGGACUCAGCAAAAAGAGAAAGAUGUAUUCUGAAGAUAAACCUUUAUCAUCUGAGUCCUUGUCACAAUCAGAGUAUAUUGAGGAGGUGCGAGCAAAAAAGAAGAAAAGCAGUGAAGAACGAGAAAAAGCAACAGAAAAAACAAAAAAGAAAAAGAAGCAUAAGAAACACAGUAAGAAGAAGAAAAAGAAGGCUGCUAGUUCAAGUCCUGACUCACCAUAACACUAAGAAAAAUCAGGAUUCCCUUAUAAAGAAAGUGCAAUGUCUGAGGAAAUUUCAACUGUGAAAACUACAACAUAUUUACGAAAAUGCAUGAAUUUUCUUGUUUUUAGAAUUAUUCCUGGACUAUUCAGUAGCCACUCAGAUGCCACUGUGUGAAAGGGCCAUAAAUGUUGCC